GACGAACGCUGGCGGCGUGCUUAACACAUGCAAGUCGAACGGGUCUGCCCUGUUUUUUGCGGGGUGGGUCAGUGGCGAACGGGUGAGUAACACGUGAGUAACCUGCCCCUCACUUCUGGAUAACCGCUUGAAGGGGUGGCUAAUACGGGGUGUUCUGGCUGUGCCGCAUGGUGUGGCUGGGAAAGAUUCACUUUUGUGGUGUUUUGGUGGGGGAUGGGCUCGCGGCCUAUCAGCUUGUUGGUGGGGUGAUGGCCUGCCAAGGCUUUGACGGGUAGCCGGCCUGAGAGGGUGGGCGGUCACACUGGGACUGAGAUACGGCCCAGACUCCUGCGGUAGGCAGCAGUGGGGGGUAUUGCACAAUGGGCGGAAGCCUGAUGCAGCGACGUCGCGUGAGGGAUGGAGGCCUUCGGGUUGUGAACCUCUUUCGCCGGUGAAGAAGGUCCUGCUCUUUGUGGUGGGGUUGACGGUAGCCGGGUUAUGAAGCGCCGGCUAACUACGUG
rnacentral:rRNA from 1 species